rnacentral:rRNA from 1 species
GUACACUCCUGCGGGAGGCAGCAGUGAGGAAUAUUGGACAAUGGGUGGAAGCCUGAUCCAGCCAUCCCGCGUGCAGGAAGACGGCCCUAUGGGUUGUAAACUUCUUUUAUCUGGGGAUAAACCUACUUACGUGUAAGUAGCUGAAGGUACCAGAAGAAUAAGCACCGGCUAACUCCGUGCCAGCAGCCGCGGUAAUACGGAGGGUGCAAGCGUUAUCCGGAUUUAUUGGGUUUAAAGGGUCCGUAGGCGGACUGAUAAGUCAGUGGUGAAAUCCGACAGCUUAACUGUCGAACUGCCAUUGAUACUGUUAGUCUUGAGUAAGGUUGAAGUGGCUGGAAUAAGUAGUGUAGCGGUGAAAUGCAUAGAUAUUACUUAGAACACCAAUUGCGAAGGCAGGUCACUAAGUCUUAACUGACGCUGAUGGACGAAAGCGUGGGGAGCGAACAGGAUUAGAAACCCGAGUAGUCCCAUGAU